GACGAACGCUGGCGGCGUGCCUAACACAUGCAAGUCGAACGGAGAUUUUAUGGAAUGCGACUUCGGUCAAAUGAAAUCUAAUCUUAGUGGCGGACGGGUGAGUAACACGUGAGCAACCUGCCUUUCAGAGGGGAAUAACGGCUGGAAACGGUCGCUAAUACCGCAUAAUAUACACUUUAGGCAUCUUUAGUGUAUCAAAGAUUUUAUCGCUGAAAGAUGGGCUCGCGUCUGAUUAGAUAGUUGGUGAGGUAACGGCUCACCAAGUCGACGAUCAGUAGCCGGACUGAGAGGUUGAACGGCCACAUUGGGACUGAGACACGGCCCAGACUCCUACGGGAGGCAGCAGUGGGGAAUAUUGCACAAUGGGGGAAACCCUGAUGCAGCAACGCCGCGUGAGUGAAGAAGUAUUUCGGUAUGUAAAGCUCUAUCAGCAGGGAAGAAAAUGACGGUACCUGACUAAGAAGCCCCGGCUAACUACGUGCCAGCAGCCG
rnacentral:rRNA from 1 species